rnacentral:rRNA from 1 species
UCCAGACUCCUACGGGAGGCAGCAGUGAGGAAUAUUGGUCAAUGGGCGGGAGCCUGAACCAGCCAAGUCGCGUGAGGGAAGACGGUCCUACGGAUUGUAAACCUCUUUUGCCGGGGAGCAACGGGGUCCUUGCGAGGGCCCAAUGAGAGUACCCGGAGAAAAAGCAUCGGCUAACUCCGUGCCAGCAGCCGCGGUAAUACGGAGGAUGCGAGCGUUAUCCGGAUUUAUUGGGUUUAAAGGGUGCGUAGGCGGGCUGUUAGGGCUGGGGUAAAGCCCGGGGUCCCACCCGCGGGGAGCCGUUGAAACUGGCUGUCUUGAGAUGUCGAGAGGUAUGCGGAAUGCGCAGUGUAGCGGUGAAAUGCUUAGAUAUUGCGCAGAACUCCGAUUGCGAAGGCAGCAUACCGGCGGCGAUCUGACGCUGAGGCACGAAAGCGUGGGUAUCGAACAGGAUUAGAUACCCGUGUA